rnacentral:rRNA from 1 species
AUUUAUCGGUGAUGGAUGGGGAUGCGUCUGAUUAGCUUGUUGGCGGGGUAACGGCCCACCAAGGCGACGAUCAGUAGGGGUUCUGAGAGGAAGGUCCCCCACAUUGGAACUGAGACACGGUCCAAACUCCUACGGGAGGCAGCAGUGAGGAAUAUUGGUCAAUGGACGAGAGUCUGAACCAGCCAAGUAGCGUGCAGGAUGACGGCCCUAUGGGUUGUAAACUGCUUUUAUAAGGGAAUAAAGUUAGUCUCGUGAGACUUUUUGCAUGUACCUUAUGAAUAAGGACCGGCUAAUUCCGUGCCAGCAGCCGCGGUAAUACGGAAGGUCCGGGCGUUAUCCGGAUUUAUUGGGUUUAAAGGGAGCGUAGGCCGGAGAUUAAGCGUGUUGUGAAAUGUAGACGCUCAACGUCUGCACUGCAGCGCGAACUGGUUUCCUUGAGUACGCACAAAGUGGGCGGAAUUCGUGGUGUAGCGGUGAAAUGCUUAGAUAUCACGAAGAACUCCGAUUGCGAAGGCAGCUCACUGGAGCGCAACUGACGCUGAAGCUCGAAAGUGCGGGUAUCGAACAGGAUUAGAUACCCUGGUAGUCCGCACGGUAAACGAUGGAUGCCCGCUGUUGGUCUGAAUAGGUCAGCGGCCAAGCGAAAGCAUUAAGCAUCCCACCUGGGGAGUA